UCCCCGCUGCCCCUCUGCUCUCCGUCGCCUCCCCACGCGACCACGACCUCCCUCUUCUCCCUCGCCCCGCUCUGCCUCACCCGGCGCCUCCUCCUCUCCCCCAGCCCCGGCACGGCCUCCCGCUUCUAGACGCUCGCCUCGAAGAAGGCAGCUGCCACCACCAUCCCCUGGCCCAACGGGGCGUGGGGAGCGGGCUGCUCUUGGUGCUCGGCUGGGUGCUCACCGACGAGGAGUACCGCCGCGCGACCAGGUGCAUCGCAAGGGCGUGGAGGCGGAGGGGUACACCAUCAAUGUGAUCUCGGCCCACCUCGACCGCAUCGCGAGUGAUGUACAGGCUGCAUGGCACCUUCUUCGUCCCAAGUACACCAUGCCAUUGACCAGUACGAGCUCAAGCACACCCUCAUCCCAAAAGAUGCUGACGAGUAGUGUGAAUUCAGGAGGGAUCUAAAGGUCAAGGCCUUCAAAACCUACCAUGUCAUACCCCGCUAGUACAUAGUUAAAUGACCAGAAAUGGCACAGAGAAAGAGGAACAAGAAGCUCUUUCUGGAUGUAGAAUUGGACUUAUGGAAGAAAAAUAAGAUUCGAGAGGUGAACCAGUUCACUUUUUUUUCUGCCUACGCUCAAGAUUUUGGUGAAGAAAAUAAGAUUCGAGAGGUGAAGCAGUUCACCUUUUUUCUGCCUACAUGCCUAAUCAGGUUACACAAUAUUUAAUUUAGUAAAUCGUUCUGCAUCAUCGUUGCCGCAAAUUAAUGGCAAACCUCUUCGUCUUGAUUUUUUAGAAGUUAACUCACUUCAGAAGGGGAUCAGGAUUACCUGUAUUCAGCAUUGUUCACAUAUAUUAGAUUUUUUCAUGAUGAAAAACUGUGACUAUUGAAAAGCUAUCCUUGAAUCAUGCUGGUUUGUGCGCUGCAAUUUGCAACUGGAGAGGUUCGAACGUCUGGCCAGUUGGGCACUGUCUAUUUGUCUGAACCUGAAAUUCAUAGGUCACUUUAGUUUUCACUAACACAGCUAGGCCAGCCCCCCCUAUCAGGUCGAGAUAGCCUCAACAGCAGACACGGUGGCGGAUCAAUUACAUACCCAUAUUACAGUAACUGCUAGCUAUACUUAUAUGGAACAAAUUGUUUGUCGUAGUCACCAAGCUGCGGAUGGCGUUGCGGGGGUACAUGCUCGCCAAGGUCUCCUGCCAUAUAUGCUUUUGAGGAGGGAUCCAGGGCGUGUUACUCUAUGCAAGAACAUGACCGCUAUGGUGUCCUGGUUUACAAUUUGAGUGGCAUCACAACAUUUAGUGCAUUUCUUCUCCAAGAAUUGCUUUAUUUUUAUCGCAUUAUGUUUUUUAUCUAUUAUUUUUGACUUACUUUAUUCUCUUGAGUGUUACAGAAGAGGUGUCUUUGCAGAGCUUAAUAACAAUUUAUUUGGUUGGAGCACACUGAUACUGCAUUGAAAAUGAUCGAGCAGCCAACCGGGUAAGCAGUUCUACGUCGUGCCAUGUUGUUAUCAGAGUAUUUGUCGUGCCAUGUUGUUAUCAAAGUAUUUGACGCCAUUUAUUACCUUAAUCCCAUCAUAUAACGGUCUUAUUUUUUGGUCAUGAAACAAGAGAUUGCAGUGCUUAUACAGGAUAUUUUGCAGGCCUUGCAAUUUUUAUUGACAUGUUUUAUGAGUCGGUUAUAGGUAUUUGCAAUUUUCACUGACAUAUUCUAAAGAUAUUUGGAUUGCACUCUUGCUGCCUCUUGAUUUUAUAUGUUUAGAGUAAUGUCCACUCAUCAUCUUAAAGCAAUUUCUCUGGUGUUAAAGUAAUCCCAUAUAAAUGUCACCAAUGUGUAAAACAAAACAAUCUGAUUAUCUUCUUCUAAGUUUCUUUUGAUUAUGAUUGUUAUCCCCAUUUCUGAACUUUUGCCACUCUGCCCUAUUACAUGUACAGUGGAAAACUUCUCUUUUUGAUUGAAUCUGGAUCUAAAAAAGCAUAAGCAUGUACAGGAACUGGUGGUCCACCUUGCUUCUACAAAUGGACAGCCCGAUUUUAUUCAUGUUUUGGACUAGAUGAUAUAUGAUGAUUUGAACAUUGCACCGGUAGGGUUUCAGCAACACUAUGUAUGAUCUAAACAAUGCCUGAAAAUAAUUUUUGAGGCAUUUGUUUCAAACAAAUUUGUUGAAAGAUAUUCCUAAUAUUUUAGUGC